CUGCCCCAACCAUCUGCGCAAAUUCUUUUCCUGGUUACAAGGGCAGCUCACAGGGACAGAGCCCGCCUGGCCAGCCAGGAGCCUUGCUCAGGGCUGCAAAGCCUUUCAGUUUGUGAUAACAGGUCACUGUCUCCCUCCUGUAGGAGAAGGAACAAGGUUUUUUUUGGGGGCGGGGGCGCUAGCCCAAAAUCACAUGGCUUCAAAAGUGCUGCAAAGGAAGGAAUGCCAGGGUUGCCUACUUCCAAGUUUAUGUGUGUAGGUCAGAAACCUCCAUAUGCUACCUGCACACAACACACACACACACACACAUUCACACACACACACACACACACACACACACACACACACACACACACACUGGUGGCAAGAAUGUUGAUGUCCCAGGAAAUCUUGGCAGGAAAUGGUGUUCAGUUGGCCUGCCCAGUGGGCCUUGAACAGGGUCAACCAGAGGGGGCCCCUCCCUUUGGUAUUUUCCUCCCUCCGUUUCUCGCUCUUGCAAAUGGCCCUUUGGAGCUCAUUCCCAGUGGAGCCCUGGGUUUUCUUUGAAGCCUCAAGUCUGUGGUCAUUGGUCACUUUUGCUAGAUGUCUGCCCUGCCUGAUAAAAUCAGGUGAGCAGGUACAGGCCCAAUUCAGCAGAGCCUGUUUGAGCUAACCUCCUUACGGGAAGGUGGAAAAGGCCUGGCGCUGGCUGACAGCCCUAGGGUUAAAGGGUCUCCACUCUGCACAGGAGAGCACAAAGAAGUGCUUGUCUCUAAACCCGUUAUUUCUUCCCUGAAUCCUCUCCACACACACACACACACACACACACACACACACAGAGUUGGAAAUGUAGUUCAAGUCCAUCUAAAACUGUAAUUCACAAUGCUGUUCUGGAACAAAACUGAAAGGCAGGAAUCAUUGACGGGAAUUUCGGGCAGCCUUCCUUGUCCUCACCCGGGCACGGUUUCAUCUCUCCAUGAAUCCCCUACUCUUGGCAACUUCCACAAAGAGAAAGUCACUGAGUUUCUGUCAGACUCCUGAACCCAAGACCCUGAACCCUAUAUCAAGCCCCACGGUCAUGUGGUGUGCUAACCGAGGCAGCUUUGGGGGGCAGCAUAUACACCUCGGACACACUAGAAAAGAAAACCAGGGCAGGUGCUGAGGGGACAGAGUCUCACCAGGCUACUCAGAAUGACCUGAUGUUUCGAAACCAAGAACUAAAUAUCUCUGGAAUUUCCCAUCUAACCUUUUCAGAUCCCAGCUGAAAAAAACAAGACGGUUCAAAAUGAAACUGUAAGCGAAGGAGUCCUGCUGUGAGUCCUACGCCAGUUCUGCAGGGAUGUCUUGUCUCGUGUUCGAGACAGUCUCAGGGGACCAGGCUGGUCUGUACUUACCAAGAAGCCAGGAUAGCCUAAUUCCUGAUCCUCCUGCCUCUGCCUCCUAAGUGCUAUGACACCAUGCACAGCCAGGAGCCAGGCUUCUCCAGCUGAGGGACCCAGGAGGGCGUGUUCAAUGGAAGGUGUUGCUUUACAAACCUCAUCCUUAGUGCACACAUGACUUCCUCUCUGCUCUCAGUCACUUUACUGCGGCACCUAUGACACUGGCUCCCCCAGGCUGCCUCAUGGGCCGCGACUCCUCACAUCUUUGUUCUUAACUUCAUCUCUACUCGUUCACAGCUGCUCAGAAACCACCCCUCUUGAAGCUGGAGAGAUGGCUUGGCAAAUUAGAACACUGGCUGCCCCUUCAGAGUGCCGGGUUCAACUCCCAGCACCACAGGGCGGUUCACAACCAUCUGUAACUCCAACUCUGGGGGAUCUGACGCCCUCUUCUGGUGUCUGCAGGCACUGCAUGCAUAUCGUGUACAGACAUACAGGCAAGGUACCCAUACAACAUAAAAAAAUUUAAAUGAUUAAAAUGAAAAUUUUAACACCCCCCCCCUUUCUGAGGAGUCUCUGCUUCUCCAUCCUCACCCUCUCCUCAGCCCAGGCCUCCUCUGUGGUCCUUUCAGGAAGGCUGACCCCACUCACUACACAUCUUCCUGCACCUUAAAAAUGAUUUCUGUGUAUGUUCCUGUCCACUGGAGGCCAGAAGAAUCCCCCGAAGCUGGAGCUAAAAGCUGUUCUGAAGUUCCAGGCAUGGUGCCACGGUCUCCAAGGACAGCCACACUUUCAGCCCCUGGGCCAUCCCUCCAGACUCCCGGCACAUGCUCCAGCCACACUUGGAUGACAGUCUAGAUUGAUAAACAUCCAAGGGAACGAUUUAAAAAAGGAGGAAUGAUUUCUUUGUCUCCUGGUUUCGGGGACGACAGUGUCGUGGCUGGCUGCGUUGCGCCUGAGCUGAAGGGUGUGCUAGGAUAGAACCGCUGACUUUGGUGAGCCUAGGGAGUGGGGAGAGACAAGGGACGGGGCAGGAACGAGGUGUGGACCUCUUUCUACCAAGGAGGCCCCUCCUGCCCCCUCACUGCUUCCUAGGAACAUCACCGUGUUAUGAUGGGGGGUUGCUAAUCCGCUGAUUAUGUCAGAACCUUCAUGGUCCAGUCACCUGCCAGAGACUGGCUGCUCCAGCUGGGACCAGGCCCUCUGCACGUGAGUUUGGAUUUGGGGUGGCAGUUCAGAUGCAAACCUAAACAAUGAAUAGAUGAAUGGAUAUUCAGAUUUUUUUCCCUAUAAAAGAAAAAAAUAAAAAAACAAAAUGUCUUUGCUGGUUGGCUUGAGACAGCAGGUGCCAGGUCUGCUGGGACCAGGGCUUUUUGGAGGCUGUGUCAUUUGAACCAAGACGUAGAAGAAUGAGUGGAUUGUUGCUUUUAUAUUGUUUUCUUUAGACUGGGGAGGUGGCUCAGUGAGUAAGACAGUUCCUGUUCAACUAUGAGGUUGUGAGCUCAAAUCUCCGGAACCCAUGUAAAUGCAGGCAUGGGGGCACACAUCUGAAAUCAUGGUGCUCUUAUGGCAAGAGGCAAGACACGCAAGUCCCCAGAAGCUAGAGGGCCAGACAUUGAGGCACAAGAAGAGGCUGGCAACACGGAGGCCCUGUCUUCAUCAAGGUGGCAGGCUGGGAUUGACCAGCAAGGGUAUCCCCUGAGCCCCAUGCAAGCUGACCCACAACUCACACACACCCACCCCUAUUCAAGACUCAGCAGCUAAUGGGGCACAAAACGAACAUCUCUUGAAUCUGCCCGGCUGACCCAGCAGCAUCCUUUAUGUUCCACUAUGAGGAACACUGGCUGGGGGCCGCAUCUUACGUUACAUUUGAGGUUAGAAGUGUGCGAUAGACACGCCUAUGGAUGAAGUCUCUAGCCAGUCUGUCUAAAGCACUCUAAAAUAAACAAAUAUUUGAUUCACAGAAAGCAAAACCUGAGAGGGAGAAGAGGAAGUGGGGAGAAGGGGGAAGCUAGAGGAAGGGCUCCCCACAUCCUAUGAGUUUGGUGACUUAAUGAGAAAAGAAAGACCGGCUCAGGCCAGCCUGUGGAUGUCCGGGUGAUGUCACCUCCACCUUCCCUCAGGUGUGACCGAGUCACAGACCGAGGAACUUGGGUGAGUGUGGUGGCUCCCAGCUCUACCCCUUAAAACCUUCAGAGUUCAGAAAACCCCCUCUGCCCCACAUGACUUCAUCUAUGCAAAUGCAGCACUUGGUCUUUGCUAAUUCCCUUAUGAGAUCUGCAUGCAGUAACAACCCCACAGGCCUAAGCAGUGGACGAGCCAAGAGCUUCUGAUGUCGGUCUGGGCAGUAGAGAUUGGAGGACAUCUCUAUUCCUGCCUCACGCUGCUCACAGAGGCCACAAUGCCAGGAAUGAGACAUGUGUUGCAGUUACAAUGUGGGUCCAGGGCUCACAGCUGAGCACCUCACCCCACCACCCCCAAGCUGUAGACCUGCAGACCAGCAAGGUUUCUUAUCCUGACUCUAUGUACACAGUUGCAUCCUCUAGGAACUCUCUGGGUACCAGGUGAGCCUCACCCUUAUGUUUCUACUCUGCUAAGUUUAUUCUAAACUUUGGAUUCUGAGAUGCUACCUGCAUACCCCAGAAGAGAUCAAACCUGACCCACCGUCCGUUUUGUUCUCUAGAGACCACACACUCAGCACACAGUGACUCCGCAGUCACCAGGAGUCUCAAUUGGGCCUUCUCCAGUCCCAUGAGCUGGGGACGGGGAGAGGACAAUUUCCGCAGGACUCAGCCCACCCAAAUCAGAGGUUCUCUAACUCCAUGGACAGGGGCUUUUUUCUCUGUCUGUGUAUAUCCCUUUUUUUGUUUCCUGCCCACCUCCCUGUUCCCAGCUUCCCUUUCUCUACUGUGACCUCCACAGUCCAAACAUUUCAGUGCUGCUUGGAAACUUGAGACCAAGGACAGACCCACCCAUGAGACAUGACUUUUAAGAGAGCGAGAAUCCAGAAGCUACAUAGUGCCUGUUCAAGGGUUCCGGCAUGGAUUCGCUUUCUCUGUGUGGCUGCCUCUGUGGUUGCUCUCCUGCUUUUCCUGCUCCUCCAGCUUCUCCUCCUCCAGCUCCUCUCCUCCUUUUGCCCCUCCUGCUGCUGCUCCUCCUCCUCCAGUUCCUCCUCCCGCUCUUCCAGCUCCUCCUGCUCCCUUUGCUCCUCCCUGUGACUACUAAGACUGUCUUUUCCCAUAGGAAUCUCCAGCAGAAAAGCAAGCAGACCAGACCUGGCAGCCCACAGGCUGGGAAAGAUGCUAUAUCUGGCCAAGUCCAACUCCUGCUCUGCUCACAGGCAGCCUCGGAAGCCCCAAUACCAGGUUCUUCACUGCGGCCACAGUUCACCACAUGACAACUACCCACAGGCCACUGUGGACUGAGGGAGUAAUGAGGUGAGCUUCUUCCUAAAGCGAUCCUGUCUCUAAGAACAGAAGCUGGAUCUUGUGCUAGGUGUGGUGGUGCAUGUGGAAUCCUAGCAGCUGGGAGGCUGCGACAGAAUGCCCUGGAUUUCAAGGGCAGCCUGGGCUGUGGAGUGACACCCUGUCUUUAAAAACAAUGGGUCUUGAGGAAAGGUAGUGAAGUAUUACAGUGUAUAAAUACAUAUUUAUCUUACUGGAGCAUCUCCGUGUAUAUAUGGCAUUAAAGUGUCAUGGAGGCAUAAUUAGAUAAAAUAUGUAAAAGGACGACUGAGAGGAGGCAAUGAUAGACACAACACUGAGAAACACUGGAACACAGGCUCAGAGUUUAGUUUCAAAAUCUUCCUUCUGUCUUUUUCUCCCUGGGUGACCUUGAAUGACUUAACAUUUUUCUGUUUCCCUAGUGGGAUGAGAGCAAGGUGAUCCCCACCUCCUGGUUUGUGGUAAGGACCGCAUGGUGAGGACAAGGAGAGCAUUUGGCACUGCAGUUGACGGCAGGUGUUAGAUGCCUUGAUUCUGAGAUCCCUGAAAGAAAGCAAGUGUUCCACCUCUGUGAUAACGCCUUAAGAACUGACGGCCCUGGGGGGGGGGGGUCUGAAUAGGGCCGGUCCCCAGAGGCUCAUUAUGGGAUGCUUGGUUAUCAGGGAGUCCCAGUGUGUCGCUGGGAUGGGCUUUGAGCUUUCAAAAGUCCAAGCCAGGCCCAGGGUUGCUCUCUUCCCACUGCCUGCUGACGUGGAUGUAGAAUUCCCAGCUCCUUCUCCAGGGCUUUGUCUGCCUGUGUGCCACCUUGCUCCCUGUCUUGAUGACAAUGAGACAAGCCCCAGUCAAGUGUUUUUCUUUCUAAGAGUUGCCGUGAUCAUGGUGUCCUUCACAGCUAAGCCGCAUCUGGGGGGUGAAACCCCGGCUCCUGGUUCUCUCAACAAGCAUCUUGCUAGCAAGGACCCGGUUAGUGCAGAGCACUGGAUUCAUUGGGCCCCUCCUGCAGCCUCUAGCUGCCACCAAACCCCUCUCAGGGGUCACCCUCUGCCUGCAGCUAAGUGUAGUGCUAGGGACUUGUUGGAUAAUUACUUGUUGAUUUGCAUCCUGUGAGGGUUGGGGGUAAGAAAACUGUAACCUACAAAGCCAGAGCUUCUCAACCUUAGCAUGGUGCACCGCACUCUGGGGAUCGUCUGGGAAUCAUGCUGAAGUGCAGAUCCUAACUCAGCAAGUCUGGGAUAGGACAGAGAUUUUGCAUUUCUGACAAGCUCCCAAGGGAGGGAGCCGAUGUGACUGAUCUUCUAUUUAGGGAGCCAAGUAGUGUAUAAACUGCCCUUUCCCCUAGUUAGCAAGGAGGAAAUGCUACUUUCCUCGCUCUGCCCAUGGCUGCACAUUGUUUUGUCAUCUUACAGGGCCCACAUUUGAAUGUCUGAGUUUCAUGCUAGAAAAAUCCCACAACAAACCCUUUAAGGCUUGUAACCCGGAGUUACACCAGUCUGUGAGUUUCUGUGACACUGACCACAUUACCAAGAACGUGUUCAGUUGUGUUUGUUGGUCUCCCUGAGCUGGAAGGAGACUGAGUAAGAGAGCAAUGGAGAGCAGCUCCUAACUUCCCGUUGGACACAGCCUCAGGCAGCCACACUUGCUCCUGGCAGAAACGACCAAGAGAAUAUAAAUGGGAUCUUCCACAGAGGAGCCCUGGCAGCUCAGGAUAUCUGACACCAGGUCCUACAACCAAACAGCAUGUGGGACCCCGUUCUGUCACUCAAAGUGAGUCUUCUGAUAAUUCUAGAAAUGUUUGUGGAUGAUCUCCAAGCAGAAGGGUUCAGGGUGUGGGGUGCAAAGCCAAAAAGCGGGUCUCAAAUAGCAAGAAGCGACAACUUAGUUCUACUAAUGCAUUCGAGUAGCAAAAGAAAUAGCAAAGAGGCAGCCAUUCAGACAGUUCAGAGAAUGCAGCCAUUGGCAUGUUCAGCUUGUGUAGUUGUUCUUUGAGGAGCCCUCUGGACUCUGGUCCUAUCUCACUCAGAUCCACUGCCUCAUUCAGACAACCAAGGACACUAACAUGGAGGACGCAUUGGAAUCUGUGGUCUAAGGUGCUCACGAAACAGCUUGGUUGGUAAAGUGCUUGUCACCCAAGCACAAGGGCCUGAGUCUGGAUCUCUAGAAUGCGUGAGAGAGCCGCAGCCCAAACCUGGAAUCGUUGCACUGGGAAGGCAGAGACAAAAAGGAUUCUUGAGGUUUGCUGGCUAGCAAGGCUAGCCAAACUGAGGAGUGUCAGGUUCAAUGAGAGACCCUUUCUCAAAAAGCAAGAUGGAGGCAUUAGGGCUAGCAGCAUGGCUCAGUGGCUCAAAGAACUCACAGCACUGGCAAAGGACCAAGGUUGGCUCCCAGGACCCACUUGACAGCUUACAGCCAUCUUUACCUCCAGUUUCAGAGGAUCCGACCCCCUCUGCAGGCACCGAGCAUGCUCAUGGUGUGCUUGCACACAUGCAAACAAACAUUCAUACACACAAAACAAAAAUAAGUAAGUCUUAGUAAUACAAUAAUCGAGGAAGACACUUUGGCCCCCCCCCCCCCCCCCCGUGCAUACACAUGCAUAUGCACAGCCCUCCAGCACAGAGUGUCUGUUCUGUAGCUGACAGGUGGGCUCCUCCCAGGAGGGAUGUGGAAGUGAGAUAGCCCAGGGAAGCCAGAAGAAAGGUUUCCUCAAGCAGAGCUCAGGUCUCGAUUCAGGUAAGGCCUCAGAUGGUGAAGGUGGUGAUAUUUUGUUUGUGAUCUAACACAGAAAGCUUGCCUGACAAUCAGAGUGUGGAGUGAGCCACUAGCUAGCCAUAGAGGCCAGGCAGUGGUGGCACACACCUUUAAUCCCAGCUCCCUGGAGACAGAGGCAAAUGGAUCUCUGUGAGUUCAUGGCCACCCUGGGCUACACGAGAUUGAUCAGUCUAAAAGAGAGUCAGAGCCAGGUGGUGAUGGCUCACACCUUUAAUCCCAGUACUUGGGAGUCACACAUCUUUAAUCCCAGCACUAAGGAUGUAGACACAGGAAGGGAUAUGGCUGGGCAGAGAGAGGAAUAUAAGGCAGGAGGAGACAGGAACCCAAAGCAUUCAGUCUGAGGACUUGUAGAGACAGGAUACCCCAUUCAGUCUGAGGAUUUUAUAGAGGUAAGAACUAGUGGCUGCCUGCUGUUUCUCUUAUCUUUCAGCUUUCAUUGCCAACAUCUGACUCCAGGUUUUUAUUAUUAAGACCAAUUAUAAUUUGAGCUACAGGUGAGGGCAGAGUAUCUGGGCUAGAGAUCACGGGUCCAUCAUUAAAGAUACAAGUACCACAGGGCACGUGUCUUUCUUAAUGAAAUAAGCAAAAUGUGGAAAUGCAAUACUGAUCUCUUGACCUGUUAUGAGGAUUCCACAGAUAAAUAAUUUAUUCAUUAGAGUGUACUCUGACAACAGCUUCGUAGUUAUCUCAGUAAAUAAGAACUAUUAUACAUAUGGUAGUCACGUCACGCUCCCUGUUCCUUCCACAAGGCCUUAUCCCCUGACUCUGUAGAUUUUCCCGCCUUUGAAAUGUCCUGGAAGUGGAAUCAGACACUGCUCCAUCAUCUUCCAUGGUGGUUUCUUUCACUUAGCACAGUAUUUUCAAGGUCACCCAUGCCAUACCACACUCCAGCACUUCACAUUUAAAUACUGACUCUGCUGCAUGGAUAGUCCCCCACUUCAUUGUCAUGUUGAGGAGACUAUAACUGUGAGUAUCCAUGCAUGUGUUAAGUGUAAAUAUGUUCUGUUUCUAAUGGGUCCUCUGUGUAGUUUUGCCGUGCAUCCAGUUGGGCUUCCUGUGGUCUAACUCUUGUUCGUAUUAUAUUGAACUCAUGAUUUUACCACCCCAAAUCUGUUCCUUCUCUAGUGCACACCAGCAAUCUCAUCACCUUCCCUGCUUCAGAAACGCAUGAAGAUCCAUUCUUCUGUAGCCAUAUCCAGUCCAGUGGCCACUAAAAUAGGAGCAUUCCCCAGAGAAGGCGUCGCUGAUGGUCAAGAACCAAUCCUUACACAAUUGCGCCGCUCUGUUUGUACUUGGGAGAUUAUGAGCUUCACUUCUGUUUGUCCACUAUUCUAUCUCAAGAGCUGAGCACAGCGCCUAGUUUACAGCAAGGCUUGCAAGCCUCUUAAGACUAGAUAAUUGGCUACAUAUAAGGUUUCCCGUUAGAAUGUCUCCCAGCCCCAAGUUCGGUAGGAUUGAUGAUAUAAUUUUUUUAAAUGGAACUGCUUUUCUUUUUUACUUUAUUUUUAAUUUGGGUAUUAUUUACAUAGAGCACCGUUCAUCCUUUGUGGUCCACAGUACUGAGAGUUUGGGGAUAUGUAUAUAUCCAUGCGGUCACCACCAUCAUUAAGGUACAGAAUAACUAACUCAUCACCUUUGACACUUCCCUGUUCCUCUCUGUAGUCUCCACUCUAGCCCUCGUCCGAGAUAAGAAGUCUUCUGAUUCUACAGCUUUCCUUUCCCAACGUGUCAGACCAGUGGGAUCAGGCACUGCGGAGCCUUUCUGAUUUAGCCUUUUCUCCCUCAACAUAAUACAUUGGGGAUACGUGCAUGAUAUUGCAAUAGCUCGUUCCUUCUUACUGAUGAGUUAAAUCCCAUUGUACAAGUGCAGACAGUGAGAGACUUAGGAGCACUCAAUCCCUAGUGAGAUGUCGUCACCAAACCCACCCCUCCUCUCAAGACUUGGGGAUCUCUACUGAAGAGGAGGAUGCCAGGGAAACAUGACUGCUACACAUAUGAACCCAUGGGGACUAUAGCAGCACUCACAGACCUGCACAGGUUCAAGCCAGACGGGGGCACAGCACUGAAAACGGAAAGUGGAUUUGGGUCCCACCUCUAACCAAAAGCUAUUUGCAGUUAAUACCCACGGGCAAAGGAAUAAUCUAUUUUAUUCGAUGGCAGAGAGACUUUUCCAUGCCUGUAGAAGCUUGACCCUGCAGGCUCAGAAAGCCCACCUAUCCCUAGCCGCGCAGAGACCACUCCUGACUCUGUCUACAAACCAACACAGAGUGGCCCCGAAACUGAGCACCGUUCAGCUCCCCCACAACCUGACAAGUUGGGGUAACAGUAAACAAGGAUCCAAGCAAUUGCACAUAAAGGCAGGACCAGAUAGAGAUCCACAGGAAAGUCACCGGUGUAAAGAAUUAAGAGGAAGCUUGUUUCUGAACUGCUUUUAGACAUUGUGUGGUGGGAAGGAUUCCUGGAUCAGCAGCAAAGAAAGAGCAGGGCCAUGGAGAACAAACGGCAGACCUAGGGCCUCUGGGAACACUCGAGAAGGAUGCCCCAGGAUUACAGGGGACUUAGGUGCUGCCUUGAGGUCUUACCCACGUUACUGAGCAAACAGGAAGCCACAUCUCAAGGACAAUGUCACCUCAUAACCUCUGUCAAGAUCUCAAAGAACUCCAAAGCUUUGACAGAACAUUUUGUCUCAGACUGGAAGGAAUCUGGUGGGUUUCCUUCUUCUGUUUAGAUUAGAAAGAUUUGGGAAAUGAACAGUACGUAGGUUUGAACUUAGACAUUUUCUGGGAUCAGAAAGUCUCAGUUGAAUAAACUCCGUAACCUUGGCACUUUGUAUAACUUAAAAGUAACUAAUUAUAGAAAAAUGGGAAAGGUAGGAUCUCGACUCUAAAUCUCAAACAUAGCUCUAGUGAUGAACAAUUGAUACCAACCGUUCUCACUCCCGCUCUGGAGCGGGACUGGGGAGUGACUGUUGCUAACUCCCUAAAGUGAUUGCAUCCCUAGAAAAGACAGGCUGUGUGCCCUACUCUGUGGCAAGCAGGAGAGCAACGCUAGACGGUGUACAGUGAAAGGAACCUCACCGGCAUCCCUCAGAAGGGAUUGCUAGGCUGGGCUUACCGUGUUCUGUGUCUCAGGGACAGGAGCAGAGGAGAUGCUACAGAGCUGGCGCUUUUCCUGCAAGAAGCUGGGCCCUACACGCUUCUCUCACCUCCUGCUUCUCCGUUUUAAAUGGAGUCAGUGCCCUAACUGACAAAUUGACCCACGAGCAAGCACAUACUGAUGGACUCUCCUCCAGUCCAGGUCCUUGUGUGGCAAUGGUAGUUUUUAUCAUUGGGAUUCUCCAUAGCAGAGCUCCGGCAGCCAGUUGGAAUAAUGUCUCCCAUGAGAUGAGUCCACGUGUGGCAUCUGGCCUCGUGCAUAGGGGCGAUAGCAUUGGCAAAGUCUAGCAGAGACUUAGGGUACGUGGACUGCAACGGACCAGCUUUACUCCUGACCCCACAUGGCAUGGCUAACUAUCAGAACCACCUGGAAGUUUCUAAAUUUUGUUAUAUGGUACAGCUUGCCAGCUCCCAGCCAGACCUCCCAAAUCCAAACCUCCUCUUGGAAUGAAGCAUGAGAUUUGCAGUUAGGUCCCUCCUAUGACUACGCCCCUUCGAGACAGGAUCUCAUGUAGCCCACAAUGGCUUAUAUAGGCAAGGACCUGAGUUUCUGCUCGUCUCUACCUCCUUAGUGCUAGGAUUACACUAUACACUAUAUAUAUUACAUUAUAUUAGUGCCACCAUGUCCAGCUGUUGGGGGCAGUGAGCCCCCAGACCCUGAAUUUCUUGUAAUCCCCUGAUCUGAGUGCCUACAGCUGCUCUGAGCACGAGACCUUCAGGAGUUCCUGAUGGCAGGAGAGUGGUUUCUGGUGGGUUUGGCUGGGGCGUGGCUAUCUCUAUCUGCCCCUGAACACAAUAAAGGGGGCAUUCUUGGGGAAUUCAAGGAUGACCCGUGUCGCUGUCCCUCUGUCUGUGUGUGUCUGUGUAUUUUAACCUCCAGCCCUUUGCCCGAAGCUCGCGAACUGGGUGCCAGCGCACCGAGCACAGACACGGGGGUGCGGUGCACGGCAUCCAUCUUAUGCAGUACUGAAGAUCAAACCCAAGGCUUCACACAUGCUAAGCAAGGACCCUAGUAACUGAGCUAUAUACACUAAUCUCUCGGGGCCUCAUCUGAAUUUCUGCAAGCAAGAAAACCCUCCCCUGUGACCUGUGGGGUUGCAGCACCUACCCAUAUCAUGUAUAAGGAUUAGAGGCCACGAGUCUGCAAGAGCUGUGUUCUAUUGUUGUCAAGAGAAACCACGAUCACAACAACUCUUAUAAAGGAAAACAUUUCAUCAGGGCUGACUUACAGUUUCAGAGGUUCAGUCCAUUAUCGUCAUGGCAGGGAGCAUGGGGACAAGCAAGCAGACAUGGUGCUAGAGAAGGAGCUGAGAGUUCUACAUUCAGGUCUGCAGUCAGCAGGAAGAGAGAGUCACUGGGCUUGCAUUGGGCUCUUAAAACCUCAAAGCCCACCCCAGGCACACCUUCCCCUAACAAGGCCACACCCACCCUAAUAAGGUCACACCUCCUAGUUCUUUCAAAUAGU